rnacentral:lncRNA from 1 species
GAAUAUUUUUUUUCGGACUGGGCUAUAUCAUCCCGAAAAAAAAGAUUCGAUAGAAACUCAGAAAAAAGGAAAAGAAAUCCGUCUUUACGCCUCGCUCCACUCAACCAAAUAAUUAUAGUAAAAGAAAAGUGAUUUCUACUUCAUUGGAUCUCAUGUCUCAAUUAAGAGGAGUCAUGGAAAGAACAGGUUCAAAAUCGCGAUCAAA